rnacentral:rRNA from 1 species
UACGGGGGGGCAAGCGUUGUUCGGAAUUACUGGGCGUAAAGGGCGCGUAGGCGGCCUGGCAAGUCGAUGGUGAAAGCCCGUGGCUCAACUGACGGGUCGGCCAUUGAUACUGCUAGGCUCGAGUCGACUAGAGGCAGAUGGAAUUCCGGGUGUAGCGGUGGAAUGCGUAGAGAUCCGGAAGAACACCGGUGGCGAAGGCGGUCUGCUGGGGUCGAACUGACGCUGAGGCGCGACAGCGUGGGGAGCAAACAGG